rnacentral:rRNA from 1 species
AGGACGAACGCUGGCGGCGUGCUUAACACAUGCAAGUCGAGCGAGGUCCAACUGGUGGCAACACCAGGGAAGACCGAGCGGCGAACGGGUGAGUAACACGUGAGCAACCUGUCCCGAAGACCGGGAUAACACCGGGAAACCGGUGCUAAUACCGGAUGUCCCCACCAAGCCACAUGGCUAGGUGAGGAAAUGGAUUCCGCUUCGGGAGGGGCUCGCGGGCUAUCAGCUUGUUGGUGGGGUAACGGCCUACCAAGGCAACGACGGCUAGCUGGUCUGAGAGGACGACCAGCCACACUGGGACUGAGACACGGCCCAGACUCCUACGGGAGGCAGCAGUGGGGAAUCUUGCGCAAUGGGCGAAAGCCUGACGCAGCAACGCCGCGUGGGGAUGAAGGCUCGUCGGGUUGUAAACCCCUUUCAGCAGGACGAAUUGACGUACCUGCAGAAGAAGCCCGGACAACUACGUGCCAGCAGCCGC